AAAAAUUUAGUUAAAUUAUAACAUUAGUUUGUCAUACUAAAAUUAUUAGAUUAUACUAAUAAUUUUUA
rnacentral:tRNA from 1 species